AUAAUUGGGAAACAGUUUGGAAUUUAUGCAAUGCCGUUAGAUGAGGGCUUCAAGGGCAGUAGAAAUUUUUGUAAAUCAAUGCAUGCUGUGGACCAGUGUGGAUGACUCGGUUGGAGAGAAAGAGGAGGUUUCUGAGGAUCCAUAUUCGGACUUUUAGUUAGAAAGGACAUCAGUUUCUUUCUAGCUUCUAGAUGAAGUUGCUAAUCAAAGGGUG
rnacentral:misc_RNA from 1 species